rnacentral:lncRNA from 1 species
UGGGAUACUGAGAGACGAGGAUCUGAUAUGCAAUCUGGCCGUAAGUUUGAAUACCCUGCCGCCCCACAGACAUUAGAGGAGUUAGAGUUGGAAUAUAAGAGGGAGGCAAUGGAUCUUGGAAGAAUUCGUGAUAAAGAAGAAGAUGAAGAAAAUUAUAAGCAUCGUGAGGUAUAAAGCUUAUCUUUUAAACUUAUUCUCGACUGCCCAAGUGAUAGCUGGUUUAUUUAAACACACCAAACCAAUUUUGAUGAUUAGUGAACAUUUGCUCCUAUUUUGACAAAUUCAAAUGUUGAGUUUCUUUUUUAUUUUUCCAUUUUUUAUAGCCUAUAAGAAGAACUCAGGCUCAAAUUAUGUUUUAGGCUCCAAAAAUGUUUUUAACUAAAGUAUGACUGAAAUUCUUUUUGGGAACAAUUUUAAAUGCUUCUUUAGUUAUAUCAUAAAACCCAGUAUUGUGCAUGCUAUUUUUAUUUCUGCUUAAGGUACUUAUGUUGCCUGAUUCCUUAAAUUUCACACAAGUGUGACCUUAAUUCUUAUGUGAGGUUUCAACAUGAAUAUAGCACUGGUGUCUUGAACAUAAAAACGUUUUGCUAUCAACUUAUGGUUCUUGAGCAAAUAUUUAUUGCACUGGUGACAUUAAUUCUUAUGUGAGGAUUUCACUGGUGUCUUGAACUUAAAAAGGUUUAGCUAUUAACUUAUGGUUCUUGAGCAAAUAUUAUAGCAUUCCUACACCUCAGAAAGAUUAGAGCUUGUUUGACACUUUUCCUUUUUCAAACAUAAAUGCUAAUGAUCCCAUAAUGACCCUGAUACUCAAAUUAUAAUAAUACCCUCAAAAUUGAUCGUUAACAGUCAGUAAUGGGAUUUUUCAUGAAGAUUUUUUGAAAGAAAUUCAAAAACAAGAAGCUUAAAACAUUUCUUCCAAAAUGGGGAAAUUGGAAACAGAAAAUUCAGCCCAAUAAAUGCAACUUUAAGACAAAACUUGUCAUCAUGAGUUGCUAUGUUCACUCUCCUUUAUGGAACAUGGGGGCAUCAAAAUGCCAUCUUAGCUGUUUGUUGUAUUGAUUAAGAAAUUUGUUUUCUGACAAACUGGUUUUAUGGAUUCAAGGCUGUUAGGGAAAUGAGAGAGAAUUACAUGAAGAAACUAGCUAUCUUAAGGGGCACGCAUGCAAAGCAAUGGGAGGAAUUUCUUCAACUUGAUGCUGAAAGGCAACACCAACGGGCACGUCAACAGAUGUCCAGUUCAGGUUUUGGUGGCUAUAAGCAGGCCAGUUAUUCUGAUUAUGAUGGUUCCUCUGCCAAUCCUCAUUAUGCUGGAGCCAAUAUACCUAUGGAUUCAAGGGGCAGGUACCCGAACCCUGUGGAAAACUAUCCUCCUUCAAGGCCUCAUGAUACUUACAGUGAGUUUCAGCGUCAAAGGAGAGAAGAUUUUGGGAAAGCUUACCACCGAUACUAAAUUGGU